CCUGCCGGACCCGACUGCUAUCGGAAUGGGAUUUAGCCAUGUUAAUCAUGCGUUCCUCGAGUGCGGGGGACGCGGUGUACGGCUCAGUAACACGUAGUCAACCUGCCCUGGAGACGCGGAUAACCCCGGGAAACUGGGACCAAUCCGUGAUAGGCCACUUCAUCUGGAAGGAGAGGUGGCCCAAAGGGGAGUUGUGGGCUUCCACUUCACUCGCUCCAGGAUGGGACUGCGGCCGAUCAGGCUGUUGGCGGGGUAAUGGCCCACCAAACCUGUUACCGGUACGGGCCUUGAGAGAGGGGGCCCGGAGAUGGACACUGAGAGAAGGGUCCAGGUCCUACGGGGCGCAGCAGGCGCGAAACCUUCGCAAUGCGCGAAAGCGUGACGAGGUUAAUCCGAGUGGUCCCCGCUUAGGGGAUCUUUUGUCGGCUGUAAAAAGGCCGGUGAAUAAGGGGAGGGCAAGUCUGGUGUCAGCCGCCGCGGUAAUACCAGCACCCCGAGUGGUCGGGACGAUUAUUGGGCCUAAAGCAUCCGUAGCCGGUUCUGCAAGUCUUCCGUUAAAUCCAGCCGCUCAACGGAUGGGCCGCGGAGGAUACUACAGGACUAGGAGGCGGGAGAGGCAAGCGGUACUCAGUGGGUAGGGGUAAAAUCCUUUGAUCCAUUGAAGACCACCAGUGGCGAAGGCGGCUUGCCAGAACGCGCUCGACGGUGAGGGAUGAAAGCUGGGGGAGCAAACCGGAUUAGAUACCUGGGUAGUCCCAGCUGUAAACGAUGCAGACUCGGUGAUGGGCUAGCCUUGUGCCAGCCCAGUGCCGCAGGGAAGCCGUUAAGUCUGCCGCCUGGGGAGUACGGUCGCAAGACUGAAACUUAAAGGAAUUGGCGGGG
rnacentral:rRNA from 1 species